ACUUCUGUUGCUUUGGCUGGCCCUCGGGCCGGUCAGAGGACCUUAACCCUUGAAUCUUUGAUGUCUGAGUACUAUAUAAUAGUUAAAACUUUCAACAACGGAUCUCUUGGUUCUGGCAUCGAUGAAGAACGCAGCGAAAUGCGAUAAGUAAUGUGAAUUGCAGAAUUCAGUGAAUCAUCGAAUCUUUGAACGCACAUUGCGCCCUCUGGUAUUCCGGGGGGCAUGCCUGUUCGAGCGUCAUUACAACCCUCAAGUUUUACUUGGUGUUGGGCUCGCCCCCUGUGGGCCUGCCUCAAAAGCAGUGGCGGCUCCGUCCGAUCUCAAGCGCAGUAAUGCUCGUCGCUUGUUGGUCUCGGCGGGUGCUUGCUAACAACCCCCAUCUUAAAAAUUGUUGACCUCGGAUCAGGUAGGGAUACCCGCUGAACUUAAGCAUAUCAAUAAGCGGAGGAAAAGAAACCAACAGGGAUUGCCUCAGUAACGGCGAGUGAAGCGGCAACAGCUCAAAUUUGAAAGCUGGCUCCUUCGGGGCCCGCGUUGUAAUUUGUAGAGGAUGUUUCGGGUGCGGUGCCGGUCUAAGUUCUUUGGAACAAGACGUCAUAGAGGGUGAGAAUCCCGUAUGUGACUGGUUGCCUGUGUCCAUGUGAAACUCCUUCGACGAGUCGAGUAGUUUGGGAAUGCUGCUCAAAAUGGGAGGUGUAUUUCUUCUAAAGCUAAAUACUGGCCAGAGACCGAUAGCGCACAAGUAGAGUGAUCGAAAGAUGAAAAGCACUUUGGAAAGAGAGUUAAACAGUACGUGAAAUUGUUGAAAGGGAAGCGCUUGCAAUCAGACUUGCGCGGCGUCGAUCAGCCUGGGUUCUCCCUGGUGUACUCGGCGCCGCUCAGGCCAGCAUCAGUUUCGGCGGUGGGAUAAAGGCUCAGGGAACGUGAGUUGCUUCGGUGACUGUUAUAGCCCUGGGUGCAAUGCCGCCUGCCGGGACUGAGGACCGCGCU
rnacentral:rRNA from 1 species